AAUUGGUGAUGUGGACAACUUUGACAUAAUCUCUUGUAUCGCUCCCAAUACUCAUAUAAAGUCUCACCUGCCAUUUGAAUAAUGCCACAUAUCUCUUUUCUGAUUUU